UUAGAGUUUGAAACCCUGGCUCAGGACAAACGCUGGCGGCGUGCCUAAUACAUGCAAGUCGAACGGUGGCCUUUCGGGGUCAUAGUGGCGGACGGGUGAGUAACACGUAGGUAACCUGCCCUGUAGUGGGGAAUAACUCUUCGAAAGAAGGGCUAAUACCGCAUAAUCUCUCUUCCGUGGGGAAGAGAGGAAAGCUCACGCAAGUGGGCGCUAAUGGAGGGGCCUGCGGCGGAUUAGCUAGUUGGUGAGGUAACGGCCCACCAAGGCGACGAUCCGUAGCUGGUCUGAGAGGACGGCCAGCCACACUGGGACUGAGACACGGCCCAGACUCCUACGGGAGGCAGCAGUAAGGAAUAUUCCGCAAUGGGCGAAAGCCUGACGGAGCGACGCCGCGUGAGGGAAGAAGCCCUUUGGAGGUGUAAACCUCUUUUGUGGGGGAUGAGAAAGGACAGUACCCCGCGAAUAAGCCUCGGCA
rnacentral:rRNA from 1 species